GUUGUGAGAUCAUGACCUGAGCCGAAGUUGGACGCUCAACUGACUGAGCCACCCAGGCGCCCCAUGCAUUUGUUUUUCUCCAGCGGCCUUGAUGACAGGAGCCACAAACUACCAGCCCACAGCAGUGACACACGCAUUGGCUGCUCCCAUGGAGAACCUCGAGUCUUAACGUCAGAGCCCACUUGGCAGACUGGGGACUUAGGACACAUCAACCAAGUGCCGUGUGUGACACGUGUACAGAUCCUGAUACGCACAGACCUGCUAUGAAAAGGUGUUUGUGAGCCCCGCCGGCCCCUCCUGACUUGCAGAGCUCUGAGCAAGGGUCCCUUUGCCGGUGUGGAACCGCAGCCUGUCGUGGGUUCACCGGCCAUGUCGCUGAAGGUCUGUCUGUCACUAGCAGGUAAGCCCCCAGGAGGCAGGGACCAGGUCUGCUUUGCUGACGGUCACAUGGUUGCCAGAGUGCAGGCACUCCACGCUUCAGGGAGAAUGGGGUGUGAAUGAGUGGACGAAGAAUUACAAGUCCUCAGAAGGGUUCUGGGGGACUAGGGGACCAGACGCGUCCCAGACGCUAGGGUCCAUUCCCAAAGGGAGCCAUCUGCCAAAAUGCCAACCAGCGCAGUUGGCUGGGGGAGCUAUAGGGGAGAGCCCCUCUCCGAGGGUGCUGUGCCCAGAUACAGGGAGGAGCUGGUCCUGUCUCUGUGACCUGGUCACUUGGGGCCCUUCUCAGUUGUCACAGAGGGGCUGCAUGGAGGAGGGUGACAGUCCCCAUCUGGGCUGCAUCAGGAGAUGGGGCCAGAGGCCACGGAGAGGAGGGGAGGUGUGGUUGUUCCGGACACUUUCUGGGCCUAGACGGACAUCAGGCAGGCCCGAGUCUCAGCGGGGACCGAGGGUGGGCUGCGAUCUGGGACGAUCGCAGGACAGCCUGUGAUAUGGCACAGGGUUGGGGUGGGGGGGCGGUGGUCCUGCAGUCUGGCCUCCUAGCAGACCCCACAUGGGUCUGAGAAGCUUGGGUCUGCCUGGUCACUGUGAUGCAACCACCCUGUACCCCGGGAGCACCACCGAGUCACGGGUGGCUUGGAGGGAUCUGGGUCAUCUGACAAUGGCAAGUCCCCAUCAGGUGACAGCAGCCCCAGCCUGUGCCCAAGAACCACCUGGCCGAGCCCACGCAUCCCACAGAACUGGGAGGAAAUAGAACACAGUCGUUGUUUCAAGCCACUUAGCUUUGGGACAUUUGUUACACGGCAACAGAUUGCUGAGACAAGCUUCUACGAAGUGCCAAGCAUAGAUGUGAUCUGAGUUAAUGCUUUGUUUAAGCUUGGCCUUAGUUUGUUGCAGUCAGAUUUAUGAAUUAUUCCACAUGUCCAAAAAAGCACAGAGCAUGAGAAAAUGUACACCUACAACUUGCUAUAUUUGCUUGGGUUUCUGUUGUUGCUGUGACAGAUACUCGAAGCUCUGUGUGUCCCCCUCCCCAAUCUCAUCCCCUUCCCUGCCUGUCCUCCUGGCUGCGAGGCUGACCGUCCUGCUGUGCCCUGCUGGAUACCUGUGCACUCACAGACGGUCUGCAGUUGUCUGGGUUUGCCUCGGGAGGCGCCUUGCCAGGCGGCGGGCCGAGGAUGCCGGGCCGGAGAGGGGCAGGGCUGGCCUCUCUCGCCAGGACCCUCCAGCACGGGAUGCAGAGUCACGAGAUUCGAUUUAUACGUCACCAAAGUAAAAACCUUCAAGAGACACCAUUACAGAAAUGAAUGGACAAGCCACAGACUAGAAGAACUCAUUUGCGAAUCAUGUAUCUGAGAAAGGACUGAAUACAGAAAGAAGCCUUAAGACUCAAUAAUAAGGAGGCAAGUAACUCAAUUAAAAACUUAAGCUUAAGGGGUGCCCGGGUGGCUCAGUAGGUUGAGCCUCUGACUCUUGAU